rnacentral:lncRNA from 1 species
CAGCCUCAUGUAAUACACAUUUAUAAAAUAACCAUAAAAUGCAUUACCUUAUCAAAACAUUUAAGCAAUUUAAAUCAACAACACUUAAACAAUCAAUCCAAAAUCCAAAACACUUAAUAAUUAAUCCAACAACAUCCAAAACACUUAAACAAAAUCCUAAAGUUUUUCUAUUAGAGUCUAUAGGCGUCCUAAAUUUCUUCUUAGCAGUUGACUUCAAACUCUUAUCAGGACGAGAACGAUCACCGUCACCACCGGAUGUCAUCUGUAUGCAAGUUUACAUCAAAACAUAUAAAAAUCAAGUCAUUAGUUCAUAUUUCAUGUGCAUACACUUAACUAUUUUCAAUUUACUAGUACAUAUUUCAUGUCACUACACUCGAACCAUUUUCAAGUCACAAGUUCACAAUUUCAAGUAACUAAUACACUUAACCGUUUUUAAGUCACAAUUUUGCAAUUUAAAGUCGCUACACUUAAUAAUUUUCAAAUAACUUAUUCACAUUGCAAGUUACUACACUCGAACCAUUUUCAAAUAGGUAAUUUACAUUUCAAGUCACUAUACUUAACCAUUUUCAAAACACUACACUUAACCAUUUUCAAUUCUCUACUUCAAAUUUCAAGUGACUAAACCUAAUCAUUUUCAAGUCAUGAAUUCACAUUUCAAGUGCCCACACUUAACCAUUUUCAAGUCAUGAAUUCACAUUUUCAAGCGAUUACACUUUACUAAUUUCAAAAUACAAGUUCACCUUUCAAGUAACUACACUAAACCAUUUUAUAGUCACUAAUCCACUUCUCAAGUGACUACCCUUGAUCACUUUGAAGUCACUAGUACACAUUUCAAAACACUACACUUCCAUUUUCAACUCUCUAAUUCAUAUUUCAAGUUACUAAACUUAAUCAUUUUCAAGUCAUGAAUUCACAUUUCAAGUAUUAACACUAAACCAAUUUCAAGUCAUGAAUUUACAUUUUCAAGUGAUUACACUUUACUAAUUUCAAAACAUAAGUUCACAUUUCAAGUAACUACACUAAACCAUUUUAUAGUCACUAAUCCACUUCUCAAGUGACUACCCUUGAUCACUUUGAAGUCACUAGUACACAUUUCAAAACACUACACUUAACCAUUUUCAAUUCUCUAAUUCACAUUUCAAGUGACUAAAGUUAAUCAUUUUUAAGUCAUGAAUUCACAUUAAGUGUCAACACUAAAUCAAUUUCAAGUCACGAAUUUACAUUUUCAAGUGAUUACACUUUACUAAUUUCAAAAUACAACUUCACCUUUCAAUUAACUACACUAAACCAUUUUCUAGUACCUAAUCCACUUCUCAAAUGACUACAUCUAAUUUCAUGUUUGUGAGUCAAAUUUUGCUGAGAUUAACCAAAUUAAAUAAUAACAAUUUCGAAAAGAUUGAAAUCAGCAACCUAGUUGUAAUUUUAGAGCAAAUCAGCGCAUUCCACAUACAUGAACAUGAACACAUAAAAUAACAAAUUGAAUCAAAUUUCAGUCAAACAUCACAAAAUUUUUAAUCUAAGAAUCUGAUUUUAAAACAAUCAAACAUGUAAUUAGAGGUAUUGAGGAAUCAAACCAAAUGAUAAUCGCAGAGAAGUUCAUUUAAAACGUCGUCAGUCAUCAACUCCAGCGAGGAUGUGACCAAUGAGAGGCGGGGAGGCGAGGGAGGACGAACUGGGGGAGGUUGCCCGGGGUUGGCUAUGGACUAGCUACUGCUACUGCUGGCAGCUGUUGGUGUUACUGUUGUAGGUCACCGGUAGUUAAUGAUUGUUGGGAUGACAGCUGAGCGGAGAAAAGAAUGAGGCGGUGGGGGAGCUUCGUUGGUUUGUUCGCCGACUGCAUAGCUGCUUGCAGCGGCGGCUGGUGGCGCUGGCUGGAGCAGCGGCUUGGUAUUGUGCGGUGGAAGUUCGGCUAGAUACAGGUAAGACAGUAGAUGGUGAUGGAUUCGUCGGCGACGGAGGCAUGGAGGUCGAGGAAGAGAGGGGGCGACGGUUUUCGUCAGAUUAGAGAGAGAAACUAGAGAAAGAGGCGGAUGUUUUUUGUUAGAAUGAAAUUAGGUUUAGGGUUUGUUGUUGGUUUAGAAAGAAAGAAG